rnacentral:tRNA from 1 species
CAUAGCUCAGCUGGAUAGAGCAAUUGCCUCCUAAGCAAUAGGUCGGAGGUUCAAAUCCUCUUG